UAGGGAAUCUUCGGCAAUGGGGGCAACCCUGACCGAGCAACGCCGCGUGAGUGAAGAAGGUUUUCGGAUCGUAAAGCUCUGUUGUAAGAGAAGAACGUGUGUGAGAGUGGAAAGUUCACACAGUGACGGUAACUUACCAGAAAGGGACGGCUAACUACGUGCCAGCAGCCGCGGUAAUACGUAGGUCCCGAGCGUUGUCCGGAUUUAUUGGGCGUAAAGCGAGCGCAGGCGGUUUAAUAAGUCUGAAGUUAAAGGCAGUGGCUUAACCAUUGUUCGCUUUGGACACUGUUAGACUGGAGUGCAGAAGGGGAGGGUGGAAUUCCAUGUGUAGCGGUGAAAUGCGUGGAUAUAUGGAGGGACACCGGUGGCGAAAGCGGCUCUCUGGUCUGUAACUGACGCUGAGGCUCGAAAGCAUGGGGAGCAAACAGG
rnacentral:rRNA from 1 species